UACGGGGGGGGCAAGCGUUGUUCGGAAUUACUGGGCGUAAAGGGCUCGUAGGCGGCCAACUAAGUCAGUUGUGAAAUCUCCGAGCUUAACUCGGAACGGUCAACUGAUACUGUGCGACUAGAGUGCGGAAGGGGCAACUGGAAUUCUCGGUGUAGCGGUGAAAUGCGUAGAUAUCGAGAGGAACACCUGCGGCGAAGGCGGGUUGCUGGGCCGACACUGACGCUGAUGCGCGAAAGCCAGGGGAGCGAACGGG
rnacentral:rRNA from 1 species